CCUACGGGAGGCAGCAGUAGGGAAUCUUCCACAAUGGGCGAAAGCCUGAUGGAGCAACGCCGCGUGGGUGAAGAAGGUCUUCGGAUCGUAAAACCCUGUUGUUAGAGAAGAAAGUGCGUGAGAGUAACUGUUCACGUUUCGACGGUAUCUAACCAGAAAGCCACGGCUAACUACGGGCCAGCAGCCGCGGUAAUACGUAGGUGGCAAGCGUUAUCCGGAUUUAUUGGGCGUAAAGGGAACGCAGGCGGUCUUUUAAGUCUGAUGGGAAAGCCUUCGGCUUAACCGGAGUAGUGCAUUGGAAACUGGGAGACUUGAGUGCAGAAGAGGAGAGUGGAACUCCAGGUGUAGCGGUGAAAUGCGUAGAUAUAUGGAAGAACACCAGUGGCGAAAGCGGCUCUCUGGUCUGUAACUGACGCUGAGGUUCGAAAGCGUGGGUAGCAAACAGGAUUAGAUACCCGAGUAGUC
rnacentral:rRNA from 1 species